UCUCACUUUCUCUCUCUUCUCUUUUAUCGGGUAGUGUAGUGACCCUCUCUCUCAUUCUAUCGUUCCUGCUUCUUCGCUGCCUCGACUUCUUCUCUCGCGGUGCUGAAGGAGCUCACGCAUGGCGACUCAACUUCUUCAUCGCUACCCCUUGCACUUGAUUUGGAUGCUAAUUUUUUCAUCAGCCAGAAAUGCUUGGAGAGAGCCCAUUGCAACUCUGCAUUUGCUACACCAUGAAAUGUGGGAGCUUUACGACUUUGCUUACUGGUUCUGUUCAUUCUGUUCUUCCUAUUUGAACUUAAUAUGGUGAGAAUAUUCAUGGAUUUGUCUACUUCAUAAACCACUUCAUUUUAAGAAGCCUUUUGGUUGCGGCUACAUUCUUUCUCUGGUUUGUUCUGGCCAUUUACUAUGACAAUAUAAUCCCAAAUGCAUCAGGUGUGAGGAAAUCAAUAUUGUACUUUCUAAUUCCUAGUUAUUGGAUGGGAAAAGGAGGUCAAAAAGUGAAAGAGGGUGGGGUCUUGUUGAUGCAAAUGUUGUUGUUCAGAUACGUGGCCUUGCAAAGACAUAUCCUGGAACACGUAGCAUUGGUUGCUGCUUUAAAUGUAAAAGAACUUAAGGCUAUUAUUGUUGGACCUAGAGAUGAAUUGGAAAAACCUGUGGAUAUGAAUGACUGGAGUGGAACUUUAAUUUGUCCAUGGACUUGUUCAUAUAUUAUCAUGUAGAUUAAAAUUACAGCAACAAGUGAAAAUAGUUGAUGUAUUGGAUCAAUUAUAUUUGUAUACAUAUUACAUUUGUUUUAAAUUUAUACAUGUAUUGCAUCAUUAUC